rnacentral:lncRNA from 1 species
UCUACUACAACUCAAAUUACAAACACUAAACAAAUUUUGGACCGAACUACUUUUAAAUCUACUGGAACUUAAACAAAUUAAAGGCAUAGUCCUUAUACAGUCCAUAAUUAAUACACCUUCAUAUUCAAUACAACACCAGAAAUACUACUGAAAAGUAAAUAACAGUCAUAAUAUAGAAUUGAAACAAAAGUAUUAUUGUCUUCAUUAUCAGCCACAAUCUCGAAUGUACAUAGUUAUUACUUCUUAGCUUUUGAGUGAAGAUGGAUACCUGGAAUUUUAGCAAAAUAGAACUUAUGAGUAAGGUCAUGAGAAUAGCAAGAAAAAACAUCAGCCACACAACUAGCAAAAACCCAGGAACUCAGGAAAUUUGAGAGGUAAAUAGCGACAAUAUAUCUUUAAAACAAUCCAGAACUUGUAUCGAUUGUUGAGGAAAAUUCAGUCAGAAGAAACAACUCGAAGGGAAUUUUUUGAAUAGUGUAUGAAGGUCUAAGGUGUAUUAUUCUAAUUCUCUAAAAGCCUGAAGAAAAACUUCUAAUCCGUUUCCAAAAUUUGCUCGAAAAAAUCCAAAAAUCCUCUUGAAAUGGUCAGAUUGUCCCGUUUUAUAAUUGAAGCCUUAGGGCAACAUCAAUUUCUUUGUUUUCCUUUUAGUCCCUUAUCCAAUUUUAAGUUUUGCCUAAAUAGUCCUUGGUUUUCUGACUUGUGCCUCAAGUUUUGAGGCAGAAAUUAUACUUAGACCCCUCACUAGAAUGUUUUAGGAGUUUCUUACAUUAUUCCCUAUAUUCAAAUGCCCUUAAUACCCAUUUCCUUUUCCCUAAUUACUGGCCUAAGAGUUUCUAACUUUGGUUCUCAUCUAUUUUGUCAAAUUUGACCCUAGUUAGUUGCUUCAGGUUAUAGGCCAAAAUCAAUGUAUGAAUUACAGACUCAAUUAUGCAAAAAUAAACAAUCCAAGAGUUUAAAUUUUAAUCAAUGCGACUCAUGGAUUCACGCAAGUAUCUCAGUGUGGAUUUUACACUACUCACUAACAACGAUGAAACCAAUUAUCCAGGCUUUUAGAAUCAUAUGGAUACUCAUGGAAAAUUAGACACCUAAUGGGUGGGCAUACAUAUUUUUAUAUGACAAAACCAAUGGACCAAAACAAUGAGAAAGGAAACCCAAUUAACUAUACAAGAUUUAUAAAGAUGACCAAAUUACAACACUCGGCAGAGAACUAAAGGCAAGUAAUGUGUAACGGAGAUUAAACACUCAGGAUAUACGUAAAUAAAACACCCAAGAAAUUAAAACAAGACUGGUAUCAGAAUUUAAAACAUUCAUAAAAGAAACUUAGCCUAACAAAUGCAAAUCCAGA